rnacentral:rRNA from 1 species
AUUGAACGCUGGCGGCAGGCCUAACACAUGCAAGUCGAGCGGAUGAAGAGAGCUUGCUCUCUGAUUCAGCGGCGGACGGGUGAGUAAUGCCUAGGAAUCUGCCUGGUAGUGGGGGACAACGUUUCGAAAGGAACGCUAAUACCGCAUACGUCCUACGGGAGAAAGCAGGGGACCUUCGGGCCUUGCGCUAUCAGAUGAGCCUAGGUCGGAUUAGCUAGUAGGUGAGGUAAAGGCUCACCUAGGCGACGAUCCGUAACUGGUCUGAGAGGAUGAUCAGUCACACUGGAACUGAGACACGGUCCAGACUCCUACGGGAGGCAGCAGUGGGGAAUAUUGGACAAUGGGCGAAAGCCUGAUCCAGCCAUGCCGCGUGUGUGAAGAAGGUCUUCGGAUUGUAAGGCACUUUAAGUUGGGAGGAAGGGCAGUAAGUUAAUACCUUGCUGUUUUGACGUUACCGACAGAAUAAGCACCGGCUAACUCUGUGCCAGCCGCCGCUGUAAAAC